UAACGCGUGGAUAACCUGCCGUAUACAGGGGGAUAACACUUAGAAAUAGGUGCUAAUACCGCAUAAGCGCACGGUUCCGCAUGGAACAGUGUGAAAAACUCCGGUGGUAUACGAUGGAUCCGCGUCUGAUUAGCCAGUUGGCGGGGUAACGGCCCACCAAAGCGACGAUCAGUAGCCGGCCUGAGAGGGUGAACGGCCACAUUGGGACUGAGACACGGCCCAAACUCCUACGGGAGGCAGCAGUGGGGAAUAUUGCACAAUGGGGGAAACCCUGAUGCAGCGACGCCGCGUGAGUGAAGAAGUAUCUCGGUACGUAAAGCUCUAUCAGCAGGGAAGAAAAUGACGGUACCUGACUAAGAAGCCCCGGCUAACUACGUGCCAGCAGCCGCGGUAAUACGUAGGGGGCAAGCGUUAUCCGGAUUUACUGGGUGUAAAGGGAGCGUAGACGGCAGCGCAAGUCUGGAGUGAAAUGCCGGGGCUCAACCCCGGAACUGCUUUGGAAACUGUGCAGCUCGAGUGCAGGAGAGGUAAGCGGAAUUCCUAGUGUAGCGGUGAAAUGCGUAGAUAUUAGGAGGAACACCAGUGGCGAAGGCGGCUUACUGGACUGUAACUGACGUUGAGGCUCGAAAGCGUGGGGAGCAAACAGGAUUAGAUACCCUGGUAGU
rnacentral:rRNA from 1 species